rnacentral:rRNA from 1 species
GAUGAACGCUGGCGGCGUGCCUAAUACAUGCAAGUCGAGCGAACAGACGAGGAGCUUGCUCCUCUGACGUUAGCGGCGGACGGGUGAGUAACACGUGGAUAACCUACCUAUAAGACUGGGAUAACUUCGGGAAACCGGAGCUAAUACCGGAUAAUAUAUUGAACCGCAUGGUUCAAUAGUGAAAGACGGUUUUGCUGUCACUUAUAGAUGGAUCCGCGCCGCAUUAGCUAGUUGGUAAGGUAACGGCUUACCAAGGCAACGAUGCGUAGCCGACCUGACAGGGUGAGCGGCCACACUGGAACUGAGACGCGGUCCAGACUCCUACGGGAGGCAGCAGUAGGGAAUCUUCCGCAGUGGGCGAAAGCCUGACGGAGCAACGCGGCGUGAGUGAUGAAGGUCUUCGGAUCGUAAAACUCUGUUAUUAGGGAAGAACAAAUGUGUAAGUAACUAUGCACGUCUUGACGGUACCUAAUCAGAAAGCCACGGCUAACUAC